rnacentral:misc_RNA from 1 species
GAAAUGCCAUAAGUAAUGUGAAUUGCAGAAUUCAGUGAAUCAUCGAAUCUUUGAACGCACAUUGCGCCCGCCAGUAUUCUGGCGGGCAUGCCUGUCCGAGCGUCAUUUCAACCAUCAAGCCCCCGGGCUUGUGUUGGGGACCUGCGGCUGCCCGCAGGCCCUGAAAACCAGUGGCGGGCUCGCUGUCACACCGAGCGUAGUAGCAAUCACCUCGCUCAGGGCGUGCUGCGGGUUCCGGCCGUUAAACAGCCUUACAAAACCCAAGGUUGACCUCGGAUCAGGUAGGAAGACCCGCUGAACUUAAGC